GCCUCCUUAGCUCAGCGGUAGAGCGUUGGACUUUUAAUCCAACGGUCAGGGGUUCGAUCCCCCUAGGUGGCU
rfam:Bursaphelenchus xylophilus, Ka4C1 (inbred line), WGS project CADV01000000 data, contig: scaffold01144.62